rnacentral:lncRNA from 1 species
GAGAAUAUGAGUUAAAAUCCGACAUGAAUUCAUUGAGCACUUGAUUGUUUCCGGUCGAGAGAUUGAAACAUAGAGUGUAACAUACGAUCAACGCACUUUUAAUUACCCCGUUACCGGUAGCUUCCAUCCAAGAUAUUGGAGAAGUAUCAGUAAAGGAUAGUGUGAAUUUAUCAAGAGAUUGAGAUUCACCAUAUUGUUG